rnacentral:siRNA from 1 species
AGACCUUCAUAUGCGACUAAAGUC